CAUGGGCACCAUGAGCAGUGCCUGUUGUAGUUAUAGUAGUUGUAGUACUAGCAGUAUUAGUAGUAGUACUUAGCGGCCUCAGCAGAGUUAUAGACAUGCCGGGCCAGAUCACUGGGGAAACAGCUCCUUCCAGCAAAGGAAAAGCCUACCAAGUGUAACUGACAUUAAAAAGGGCCACCUUCAUAAUUUUGCAAGUAUGUUAAACUCUUUACCAAGCAGUCAGCUAUUCCUUUGUGCAGCUCUAAAAAUGUAAUGCUGGGAUUUGAUACAGUUGCCCUUCAAAUACCCCAGGUAAAGGGAGCUGAGUGCUUUGAUUCCAGGGAAACCGUGAGUAAGUAUUAAGAGAAGUAUGCUGCUAUGUAGCAGUUCCGUAGUUAGUCGAGCAUUCUUCCUUUCUGCCAUGGAGGGAGAAGACUUGCACGUGGAAGAGAACAUGGUGUUCCUGCACAGGGACUCACCACUGACCAGAAUCAUGUGCGACAGGGAGCAGGAGGGCCCUGAUGGCAGGGAGCCAGCAUGCCUGUUGUGUCGUUGUGUAAAGGCCGACCCCUGCGUUUCCCCAGGCCCUGGCAAGUGCCCCUGUGCUGCUCCUGCAUUGCCCAGGGCACCCACAGGUGUUGCUCGUGCCUGACAGCGACCAGAACCAGCGCCGAGUGUGACAGCUCUGUUGCUCUGGGCACGGCUGUCAGGCCAAGCCCCCUUUUGGGCUUGGCAGAGCCCGUAGGCUCCUGGAGGGCUGGGGGCACUGCUCCGGCCCAGCCUGGCCCAGGCCUGGGAGGCCUUUGACAUUGCUGAUUGCCCUCACAGCCUCCAGGGCUGAGCCGGAGCUCAAUGGCCCCAGCCUGACCGGACAGUCUGGACUGGAGCCUUCCCGUGGCUCCCCGGAACCCGAGAGCAUCAGCGCCAGCUCAGAAACACUGCCUAACUGGGUUUGCCAAUAUUGUUUCUUGUUAGAUCCUUGAAAGGAUUUAAAAGGUAAAGUUGUUUGGCAACUUCUUCAAGGAACAAAUAGGACACGAUUCUUUUCAAGAAAGGGUUUAUUAGUUUGGGUUCAGUUUCCGUUUGGAAUUCUUAUGCUUCCUUAGACGAUCCA